rnacentral:lncRNA from 1 species
CAGAAACUGAUAUAAGAACAUAAUAGAGCCACGAAUCGGGACCCACGUAGGCCAAGGAACCCUGUUCCAUUAUCAGCUACCUUCUGAUCAGAGAAUCAUAAACUAAUUUUUCUAGGCAAAACAUGGAGGGAACAACAAUGGAAAAUGCAAAAAAAGAGAGAUUAUUCCACAAACAACAUGGAAUAUAUAAGGUUCCAGGUAAUACAGAGACCAGGAUUUUAGGAAGAGAAAAGAGAGAAUUUUAACAAGAAGGGCACAUUAUGGAAUUAAAUUAUCUAAAAAAGGGGAUUCAAAAGUAAUUACAUGCUUUCUUGUAGGAUCAAAUAAAUUUUAACCAAGGAAAAUCAUGCCCACAAGCCUAGAAAACCAAACAUAGUGGAGAUAAUAAAGAAACAAACACAUACAAAAUCAACCUUCAAAUGACUUAGUCAUAUCAGUUGGCCAAUAAACCUAGAAAAAAACCAAACAUAUACUCCUAGUAGGUCAAUGAGAAACAAGAAUUCACAACAAAAUGACUUACAAGUUAGCUAAACUAAAAAUGACACCAAAACAACAUUCUUCCAUAAUAAAUUGAAUACAAAGAAAUCUUUUUGCAGAAAUCAAGAUUCUUGAAAGUUAAACUCAACCCA